UCGUUCAUCUGGCUGAGGUUUGGGUUCGCCGCCUCAAGGACCUUCUAUUCACCACGAUUAGGAUGCGAGGUCUCGCGCCGCGCGGGCGUGG
rnacentral:sRNA from 1 species